rnacentral:rRNA from 1 species
UGGGGAAUCUCGCGCAAUGGGCGAAAGCCUGACGCAGCGACGCCGCGUGAGUGAUGAAGGCCUUCGGGUUGUAAAGCUCUGUGGGGAGAGACGAAUAAGUAGGGGUUAAUACCCCCUGCGAUGACGGUAUCUCCUUAGCAAGCACCGGCUAACUCUGUGCCAGCAGCCGCGGUAAGACAGAGGGUGCAAACGUUGUUCGGAAUUACUGGGCGUAAAGCGUGUGUAGGCGGCUUUGCAAGUCGGAUGUGAAAGCCCCGGGCUCAACCCGGGAAGUGCACUCGAUACUGCAGAGCUUGAGUGUCGGAGAGGUUGGUGGAAUUCUCGGUGUAGAGGUGAAAUUCGUAGAUAUCGAGAGGAACACCGGCGGCGAAGGCGGCCAACUGGACGAACACUGACGCUGAGACACGAAAGCGUGGGGAGCAAACAG